rnacentral:rRNA from 1 species
AGGGAAGGCGGGGGGCAGGCCUAACACAUGCAAGUCGAGCGGAUGAAGGGAGCUUGCUCCUGGAUUCAGCGGCGGACGGGUGAGUAAUGCCUAGGAAUCUGCCUGGUAGUGGGGGAUAACGUCCGGAAACGGGCGCUAAUACCGCAUACGUCCUGAGGGUGAAAGUGGGGGAUCUUCGGACCCGGCGGUAUCAGAUGAGUCUAGGGCGGAUUAGCUAGUUGGUGGGGUAAAGGCUUACCAAGGCGACGAUGGGUAACUGGUCUGAGAGGAUGAUCGGUCACAGUGGGACUGAGAUACGGCCCAGACUGCUACGGGAGGCAGCAGUGGGGAAUAUUGAAAAAUGGGCGGAAGCAUGAGGCAGCAAUGCCGCGUGCGGGAUGACGGCCUUCGGGUUGUAAACAGCUUUCGCCUGUGACGAAGCGGGAGGGACGGUAAUGGGUAAAGAAGCACCGGCUAACUACGUG